GGUGAAGCAGGAUUCUGCAUCGCCUCAAGGAUUUCCCUCUUCGGAGAAAGUGAGGACUGCAGAUGCUGGAGAUCAGAGCUUAAAAAUAUGUUGCUGGAAAAGCUCAGCAAGUCAGACAGCAUCCGGGAACAGGAGAAUCGACGUUUCGGACAUGAGCCCUUCUUCAGGAAAAUUGUGAAUUUGCAGAGCAUACUUGGACACUUAUAACCUAGUCAGGAUGGUUUGUAACACUUUAAGUGUUUACAAUACUGUACCUGAUUUGCUUCUUAUUCUGAUCUGUCAUUAAAAGCCAAGGAUUGA